rnacentral:rRNA from 1 species
AUUACAGAGUUGCAAAACUCCCAAACCACCGUGAACGUUACCUACAUCGUUGCUUCGGCGGGUGGCGGGCUUCGGCCCUGCCCUCGGCCCCUCUCGGGGGCCCGCCGGAGGUACACCAAACUCUUGAAUUUACAUGGCCUCUCUGAGUCUUCUGUACUGAAUAAGUCAAAACUUUCAACAACGGAUCUCUUGGUUCUGGCAUCGAUGAAGAACGCAGCGAAAUGCGAUAAGUAAUGUGAAUUGCAGAAUUCAGUGAAUCAUCGAAUCUUUGAACGCACAUUGCGCCCGCCAGUAUUCUGGCGGGCAUGCCUGUCCGAGCGUCAUUUCAACCAUCAAGCCCCCGGCUUGUGUUGGGGACCUGCGGCACACCCGCAGGCCCUGAAAACCAGUGGCGGGCUCGCUGUCCACACCGAGCGUAGUAGCAUAUCUUUGUCUCGCUCAGGGCGUGCGGCGGGUUCCGGCCGUGAAACCCACCUUCUCGAAGGUACCCAAAGGUUGACCUCGGAUCAGGUAGGAAGACCCGCUGAACUUAAGCAUAUCAAUAAGCGGAGGAAAAGAAACCAACAGGGAUUGCCCUAGUAACGGCGAGUGAAGCGGCAACAGCUCAAAUUUGAAAUCUGGCUUCGGCCCGAGUUGUAAUUUGCAGAGGAAGCUUUAGGCGCGGCACCUUCUGAGUCCCCUGGAACGGGGCGCCCAUAGAGGGUGAGAGCCCCGUAUAGUUGGAUGCCUAGCCUGUGUAAAGCUCC